rnacentral:rRNA from 1 species
UACGUAGGUGGCGAGCGUUAUCCGGAUUUAUUGGGCGUAAAGCGUGCGCAGGCGGCUUAUUAAGUCUAAGAUUAAAGCCCGGAGCUUAACUCAGGUUCGUCUUAGAAACUGGUAGGCUUGAGUAUGGUAGAGGCAAACGGAAUUCCUAGUGUAACGGUGGAAUGCGUAGAUAUUAGGAGGAACACCAGUGGCGAAGGCGGUUUGCUGGGCCAUUACUGACGCUCAUGCACGAAAGCGUGGGGAGCAAAUAGG